rnacentral:rRNA from 1 species
UACAGAGGUCCCGAGCGUUGUUCGGAUUCACUGGGCGUAAAGCGCGCGCAGGCGGUUCUUUUAAGUCUGGUGUCUAAGUGCGGGGCUCAACCCCGUGAUGCACUGGAAACUGGGGAACUUGAGUGCAGAAGAGGAGAGCGGAAUUCCACGUGUAGCGGUGAAAUGCGUAGAGAUGUGGAGGAACACCAGUGGCGAAGGCGGCUCUCUGGACUGUAACUGACGCUGAGGCGCGAAAGCGUGGGGAGCAAACAGG